CCUACGGGAGGCAGCAGUGAGGAAUAUUGGUCAAUGGACGAGAGUCUGAACCAGCCAAGUAGCGUGAAGGAUGACUGCCCUAUGGGUUGUAAACUUCUUUUAUCAAGGAAUAAAACGAGGCACGUGUGCCUUUUUGCAUGUACUUUAUGAAUAAGGAUCGGCUAACUCCGUGCCAGCAGCCGCGGUAAUACGGAGGAUCCGAGCGUUAUCCGGAUUUAUUGGGUUUAAAGGGAGCGUAGGUGGGUUGUUAAGUCAGUUGUGAAAGUUUGGGGCUCAACCGGAAAACUGCAGUUGAUACUGGCAGUCUUGAGUAGAGUUGAGGUAGGCGGAAUUCGUGGUGUAGCGGUGAAAUGCAUAGAGAUCACGAAGAACCCCGAUUGCGAAGGCAGCUUACUAGACUGUGACUGACAUUGAUGCUCGAAAGUGUGGGUAUCAAACAGGAUUAGAUACCCCGGUAGUC
rnacentral:rRNA from 1 species